rnacentral:rRNA from 1 species
CCUACGGGAGGCAGCAGUGAGGAAUAUUGGUCAAUGGGCGGAAGCCUGAACCAGCCAAGUAGCGUGCGGGAUGAAGGCCCUAUGGGUUGUAAACCGCUUUUGCACGGGGAUAACACCCUCCACUUGUGGAGGUCUGCAGGUACCGUGCGAAUAAGGGCCGGCUAAUUCCGUGCCAGCAGCCGCGGUAAUACGGAAGGCCCGAGCGUUAUCCGGAUUCAUUGGGUUUAAAGGGAGCGUAGGCGGGCGUUCAAGUCAGCUGUAAAAUCGCGGGGCUCAACCGCGCCGCGCAGGUGAAACUGGACGACUUGAGUACAGAAGAGGCAGGCGGAAUGCGUGGUGUAGCGGUGAAAUGCAUAGAGAUCACGCAGAACCCCGAUUGCGAAGGCAGCCUGCCGGGGUGCGACUGACGCUGAGGCACGAAGGUGCGGGUAUCAAACAGGAUUAGAUACCCCGGUAGUC